AUACUUACCUGGCAGGAGAUACUAUGAUCAAGAAGGUGGUUCACCCAGGCGAGGUUCAGCCAUUGCACUCCGGUUGUGUUGACUCCUCUGCGACUCCCCAAAUGUGGGAAUCUCGAUCGCAAUAAUUUCGAUAGUGGGGACUGUCAAGGCUUCCCUG